UUCUCUGGGAUGGUCUCUGGGCUGAAGUGAAAACAAGAGAAAUUUCAACCAGGAUAAGAACUUCGAUCAUGCUCUGCCCUGGCCUGCUGUGGACAUUCAUAGCCUCCUUUGCCUUCAGAUCCAGCACGGCAGCCUCUGUGACCCAAGUUCAGGCUACAAUAACAGUGCAGGAAGGAGAAGCUGUGACCCUGCCCUGCACGUAUGAAACCAGCUGGAGUACUUAUAUUUUGUACUGGUACAAGCAGUCUGCCAGUGGAGAGAUGGUUCUGCUUAUUAUACAGUAUUAUAGUGAUUCAAAUGCAAAGCAGGGUCGCUAUUCUGUGAACUUUCAAAAGGCAGAAAAGUCCCUCAGCCUCACCAUCUCCUCUUUGCAACUGGAAGACUCAGUGAAGUACUUCUGUGCUCUUUUAGAAUCCCACAGUUAUAGAAACGAGAGUAGCAGCUUAACAAAAACCUUAGAGCUCCAUGAAGACAGCCACCUGCUCAGAGGCUUAGGGAAACCCAGGACCCACAGACAGGAAGAAGGCGGGCUGUGUGGUGGCACCGCUGAGACCCUCUAAUGGAAACUUGCUUCUAUAAAUAAUGCUGCAUAUUUAGCACAAUGUAUAAACCAGCACUCUUCCCUGAGAGUCUCAGGUCUUAUGUUUAUAUCUUGGGUUAAAAUAAAUCAAAAACUGCUUUUCAAAUUUUCCCUUAAAAGGACCUAGAACUUUAACUGAAGAUCACAUGUAGCCACUAAACAUAGAACCAGGACUCAAACCAGAUCUGUUUCUUAAAUCUUCCUACUGUGGUACCCUCUCUGACUCAAACAAAACUAGGCUCUACAUAUGUGUGUGUGUGUGUGUG